rnacentral:rRNA from 1 species
AUUGAACGCUGGCGGCAGGCCUAACACAUGCAAGUCGAGCGGAUGAAGGGAGCUUGCUCCUGGAUUCAGCGGCGGACGGGUGAGUAAUGCCUAGGAAUCUGCCUGGUAGUGGGGGAUAACGUCCGGAAACGGGCGCUAAUACCGCAUACGUCCUGAGGGAGAAAGUGGGGGAUCUUCGGACCUCACGCUAUCAGAUGAGCCUAGGUCGGAUUAGCUAGUUGGUGGGGUAAAGGCCUACCAAGGCGACGAUCCGUAACUGGUCUGAGAGGAUGAUCAGUCACACUGGAACUGAGACACGGUCCAGACUCCUGCGGGAGGCAGCAGUGGGGAAUAUUGGACAAUGGGCGAAAGCCUGAUCCAGCCAUGCCGCGUGUGUGAAGAAGGUCUUCGGAUUGUAAAGCACUUUAAGUCGGGAGGAAGGGCAGUAAGUUAAUACCUUGCUGUUUUGACGUUACCAACAGAAUAAGCACCGGCUAACUUCGUG